rnacentral:rRNA from 1 species
AGGAUGAACGCUGGCGGCGUGCUUAAGACAUGCAAGUCGAACGCAGAGCUGAUAGCAAUAUUGGCUCUGAGUAGCGAAUGGGUGCGUAACACGUAGGUGGCCUGCCCUGAAGUGGGGAAUAACAGUCCGAAAGGACUGCUAAUACCGCAUACGGUUCAAGGCGUUAGAGAACUUGAACCAAAGCUCGCAAGGGCGCUUCAGGAGGGGCCUGCGGCCCAUCAGUUAGUGGUAGGUAACGGCCUACCAAGACGACGAC